rnacentral:rRNA from 1 species
GACGAACGCUGGCGGCGGGCUUAACACAUGCAAGUCGAAGGGCAAGGUGCUGCUUGCGUGGGGUGCUCGAGGGGCGAAGGGGCGAGUAACAGGUGAGCAAACCGCCCUUGACUUUGGGAAAACUUUAGGCAACUGGGGCUCAUACCGGAUAGGAGUGCCUGCUGUAGGGUGGGGGUUGGAAAGUUUCGGCGGUUGGGGAUGGACUCGCGGCUUGUCAGCUGGUUGGUGGGGUAGUGGCUUACCAAGGCUUUGACGGGUAGCCGGCCUGAGAGGGGGACCGGCAACAUUGGGAGUGAGAUACGGCCCGGACUCGUGAGGGAGGCAGCAGUGGGGAAUAUUGCACGAUGGGCGGAAGCCUGAUGCAGCAACGCCGCGUGCGGGAUGACGACCUUCGGGUUGUAGGCCGCUUUCGCCUGUGACGAAGCGUGUGUGCCGGUACUGGAUAAAGAAGCACCGGCUAACUACGUG